CCUACGGGAGGCAGCAGUGGGGAAUAUUGCACAAUGGGCGAAAGCCUGAUCCAGCAAUGCCGCGCUGUGUGAAGAAGGCCUUCGCGGUUUGUAAAGCACUUUUGUCCGGAAAGAAAUCCUUGGCUCUAAUACAGUCGGGGGAUGACGGUACCGGAAGAAUAAGCACCGGCUAACUACGUGCCAGCAGCCGCGGUAAU
rnacentral:rRNA from 1 species